UAGAGUUAAAGGUAUUUUAGAAUUUGUCUAUCAGAUUUUCUGGUUUUUACCAGAAAAUUUAA
ensembl:snRNA RNU7-87P RNA, U7 small nuclear 87 pseudogene